GGGGAGCGUUCUGUAAGCCUGCGAAGGUGUGCUGUGAGGCAUGCUGGAGGUAUCAGAAGUGCGAAUGCUGACAUAAGUAACGAUAAAGCGGGUGAAAAGCCCGCUCGCCGGAAGACCAAGGGUUCCUGUCCAACGUUAAUCGGGGCAGGGUGAGUCGACCCCUAAGGCGAGGCCGAAAGGCGUAGUCGAUGGGAAACAGGUUAAUAUUCCUGUACUUCUGGUUAUUGCGAUGGAGGGACGGAGAAGGCUAGGCCA
rnacentral:rRNA from 1 species